rnacentral:rRNA from 1 species
CGCCAUCAGAGUACGCUAUACACUGACGACAUGGUUCUACAAAACUACGAUUAGAUACCCUAUUAUUAAAAAUGUAAAAUUUAAAACUAAUUGAUUAAUAGUUAUGGUCUUUAAAUAUAAAUAAUUUGGCGGUAUUUUAGUCUUUUCAGAGGAACCUGUUUUGUAAAUGAUAAUCCACGAUUAAUAAUUCUUAAGUUAGAAAUUUAUAUAUCAUCGUUAUUAAAUAUUUUUAUAGAAAAUAAUAUUUAUAAAAUAUAAUUUUAUUUUAAUUCAGAUCAUGGUAUAGUUUAUAUUUAAGUAAUAAUGGGUUACAAUAUUAAUAAAUUUGGAAUUUAAAUUAAAAUUUAAGUGAAAUUGGAUUUGAAAGUAAUUAUUUUAAUUUAGUAAUAAUGAUUAAGCUCUAAAAUAUGCACACAUCGCCCGUCGCUCUUAGACCAAGUCUCUGCUACCGUAAUAGCGUACUCUGAGCGGGCUGG